CACACUAGGAACAUGCAGCUACAAAAUUUAUAUUCACUGCAUUCCUAGCAAGGCUUUCUGUGUGUUGACAUCCAUUGGGUCACGUACACAUACACAUGACACAAACUAGGCCCAUUAAUCUAAAUUAGCCUGGAGAAGUCAGACAGUGUUGUUGCUCAACACUUAGGCUGCAUCUCUUAGAUGUGCUGUCCUUAGAGGACUAUAUUGGACAGGGUUCAGUGUAUGAUGCUGACAGACGAGGAAGGCCUGAGAACGAGUUUGGUAGCAGUGGAGAGGCAUUGUUCCCUGGGAGCACAGGGAAGAUUACACGUGUUCCUGUACUAGAUUCAAAAAGGGAUUAUGCUGAAACCACAAACAGUUCUAAACAUCAUGGCCAUGCAAGUUUCAAGACUGCAGGGUCAGAUAAUACAAUGAUCAGUAACUUUCCCAAGAGCUCCACCUAAGCUUUCUGUGGAAGAACUACUGAUGCUGGCCUCUGUUUAUCACUCAAACACUGGAACACCCAGAGGGAUGGCUAUCGUCUGGUCAUUGGGACAGCUGACAUGGAGCCCACAGCACAAGAGGAAUCUGAUCGGGCCGGCUGGGCGUAGCAAGCUGAAACCUGAGGAGACCGGUGGCUACUAGGCUGAGCACUCCCAGAUUUCCACAGCACAUACAGUAUUUAUUUUUUAAAAACCUACCAUCUCUACUUUUGACAGUGUCAGGGAUUGUCUUUCCAGGGACUUUAUAGCUUGAUUUAUAUUACACUUAUCCAGAGCUACUUACAUAAUUAGCAGUGUGGCUGUACACAUGUCCCUUCCAUUAUAAUUACAUGUACUUGAAAUCAUUUGCUUCUAAAGCAUCAUUGUGCCUAUAGUGCCAUCACAAACACCAACACCAUAUAACUGAAUACACUGUUACAUGUUAUUUCUAUCUGUAUGUGAUCUUCCCGACACCACUUGGAAGGGUUUCAUUUAUCUAAAUGCUUGGCCUUUCUGAAACACAUUUGUUUUGGACCUGCCUGUUCCUGCCCAAAAUUGGAAGCUUGAAAAUGUACCGAUGCGAUG